CCCCCAACUCCUUCCUUCGGAUGAGUCAAUAGCUGACGGCGGCCAUCGUGUCUGAGCUCAUGUACACCCAGAUUUGACAGGGAGCAGAACAUGGAUCUCAAUUUUUGGCAGCUCUGUUCUAAUGAAGCCAGCAUGGUUAGGUAGUGCCCGUCAGGCACAACUUGCUCGUUUUCAGCAUGAGGCGGAAGAAGAUUAUUUAGUUUUUUUUUUGUAUGGACUAAUCCAAUGAGGAUGCUGGGCAAGAAAAUAGAAGGAAUGUGGAUCUCAAGACUGAAGAAAAGCAGGCCUCCUUGGUGGCUCUGUGCUCAGAAAAGCAGAUUCGCAAAACUCCGAUUUUUCGACAGCAACUCAUCCGCCUCAGUCUCGUCUUUCGUUGACGGCAGAGCACCACGUAGCAGUGUUCGGGAGCGCAUCUUUGCAAAAAUCUAUACAAGUAUCAGAACCGGUUGUGGAGAUGGGAAUUAGGAAAUCCCUAAUUGCAUAUCUGAAACCAUGACAUUUUUCGUGGAAGGGCUGGGCGUUUCGGCACCAAGGGGCUCACCAUAACUUUUGUUUCGCCAGCCUCGGACUCAUAUGUUCUUAACCAAGUGCAAGAACGGUUUGAGGUGGACAUCAAGGAGCUGCAUGAGCAGAUUGACACUUCAACAUACAUGGCAUCGUAGACGACGACCCCGACAUUGCAAGGACGACGGAAGGAGAAGAUGGAAGAUGGGAUCCUUGAAAGUUUGCUUCAAGUGAUGUUGUUUUUUGCAUGCCUACCUUGCUACUUAGGAGGCAUCAGCAGCAGUUGUACCUUUUUUUAGUCUGAGAGAGAUGUUUGUUUUGUUAAUUAGGCAAAAAUGAAAAUGAUUUUACUUGUGCUAGAAUUGGAUGGAUGAAUGUAUGAUGCAUGGUUUUCUUUGAAAUUUUAAAAAAUCAUUAUAUUUAGACAAAACUUAUUUUUUUCAAACGUUGCAAUAUAUCGUUAAAUAUUAUAUCUAAUCCUGUAACACUCUAAAGUUUUCAAAUUUUGCUUGCUUGGGUAAUUUGAUUUGGUUGAAGAAUCUUUUUUGGAUGAAAUUCUAAACACUAUUCAGAGAAAUCAGCAGCUGCCUUUGUUCAAGAAUGCAGUAAUUCUCUGAACAUUAUUUUGUUUUUCUGUAGCAAGUUAUUCUAUUAGUACUGAACACUAUGCAAGGAAAAUCAGCAGCUGCCAUUCUUCAAGAAUGUACUAAUUCUCUGAACAUUGUUUUGUUUUUCUGUAGCAAAUUAUUCUAUUAAUACUAAAUACUAUGCAAGGAAAAUCAGCAGCUGCCAUUGUUUUAGAGAAUGAGCUAAUUCUUUGGAGAACAUUUGUUUUUCUGUAGCAAAUUAUUGUAUGAAUUCUGAACAUUGUUGAGAGAAAUUGAGCUCUGAACAUUGUUCAAAUAACAGAGAUAGAGCAGUCUGUGUAUACAUUGAGCAUUAAGCUAGAAGAAUUCUUAGCUAAUUUUUGACGAGACAUUGGUGUGCUGAAUGAUCUCUGUUACCCACCAUAAUUUAUUUUUUAUAAUGAUCUCUGUCCCAUUUUAGUACUUGUGGUGUCAUCUUCAAUUUUGUCAUAAAUUAGGAUUUUGUUUAGUUAUAAAUUUUAGGUUUCUAAUCUGGUGCUUG